UCGAUUUUGCACUCCUUGGUCAAUAUUCACUGCUCCCUCGCAGAUCGUAUCUUCUUCUUCUAGUUUCUCACUUGGCCUCUUCUCUUUUUUUGCCAGCGAAAUCUGCAAAACUCUUUUGGGAGACGGGGAAUCUCUAUCCUCCUUAAAAGCUUAUAAUCCCUCCAUCGACGUCUUUAAUCCCAGGUUUCAUAUAUUCCAUGCAUCACUGAAGAACUUUUGCCUUGGAUUCCAUCUCGGAUUCACAAAGAUUCACCUCAAAGGUAGCCUGCCUGGUGCUUCAUUCCGUUUGUAACCUUUUCGGCCUCUUUGAGUUUACAGGGCUGCACACCGGGUGAAUUUCUUGCCGUUUUCCAUAUUGCUCAUCUGAUUUAAGUCAACUUACAAUGGUGAAAUUCUUAAAUAGUCUGACAGAAGAAAGAAUGGCAUCUGUAGGCUUAUGUGAAACAUGCCCUAUAGUUCCUAGUGGAAAAUACUAUGUUCAAUUUUGCAACGAUAUAUCAUCACCAUCAUUAGAGGUGUCGACUGUUGAACCGUCACCUGAAUAAGGUUUCAUUCUUUUAGUUUUGGGCACUGCAACAAGGAGAAACAUGUAGCCAGGUUUAAAGAAACGGGGACCUUCAGGCUUCCUCUAUAGUUAAAUGUUUAUUUUAAUAUUUUAUUUCAUA